rnacentral:rRNA from 1 species
GCAGCUUGCUGCGGGUACUCGAGUGGCGAGCGGGUGAGUAACACGUGGGUGAUCUGCCUUGCACUUCGGGAUAAGCUUGGGAAACUGGGUCUAAUACCGGAUAGGACAGCUGUUUAGUGUCAGUUGUGGAAAGUUUUUUCGGUGCAAGAUGAGCUCGCGGCCUAUCAGCUUGUUGGUGGGGUAAUGGCCUACCAAGGCGUCGACGGGUAGCCGGCCUGAGAGGGUGUACGGCCACAUUGGGACUGAGAUACGGCCCAGACUCCUACGGGAGGCAGCAGUGGGGAAUAUUGCACAAUGGGCGGAAGCCUGAUGCAGCGACGCCGCGUGGGGGAUGAAGGCCUUCGGGUUGUAAACUCCUUUCGACAGGGACGAAGCGUAAGUGACGGUACCUGUAUAAGAAGCACCGGCUAACUACGUGCCAGCAGCCGCGGUAAUACGUAGGGUGCGAGCGUUGUCCGGAAUUACUGGGCGUAAAGAGCUCGUAGGUGGUUUGUCGCGUCGUCUGUGAAAUUCCGGGGCUUAACUCCGGGCGUGCAGGCGAUACGGGCUGACUUGAGUGCUGUAGGGGAGACUGGAAUUCCUGGUGUAGCGGUGAAAUGCGCAGAUAUCAGGAGGAACACCGAUGGCGAAGGCAGGUCUCUGGGCAGUAACUGACGCUGAGGAGCGAAAGCAUGGGUAGCGAACAGGAUUAGAUACCCUGGUAGUCCAUGCCGUAAACGGUGGGCGCUAGGUGUAGGGGGCUUCCACGUCUUCUGUGCCGUAGCUAACGCAUUAAGCGCCCCGCCUGGGGAGUACGGCCGCAAGGCU